AGAGUUUGAUCAUGGCUCAGGAUGAACGCUAGCGGCAGGCUUAAUACAUGCAAGUCGAACGGCAGCACAGGUAGCAAUACUGGGUGGCGAGUGGCGCACGGGUGCGUAACACGUAUGCAACCUACCCUUUACUGGGGCAUAACUUUUAGAAAUGAGGGCUAAUUCCCCAUGGUAUUAUGAGAAGGCAUCUUUUUAUAAUUAAAGAUUUAUCGGUAAAGGAUGGGCAUGCGUCCCAUUAGUUAGUUGGUGAGGUAACGGCUCACCAAGGCGAUGAUGGGUAGGGGUUCUGAGAGGAUUAUCCCCCACACUGGUACUGAGACACGGACCAGACUCCUACGGGAGGCAGCAGUAAGGAAUAUUGGGCAAUGGGCGAGAGCCUGACCCAGCCAUGCCGCGUGCAGGAAAGACGGCCUUAUGGGUUGUAAACUGCUUUUAUAAGGGAAUAACCUUCCGUACGAGUACGGAACUGCAUGUACCUUAUGAAUAAGCAUCGGCUAACUCCGUGCCAGCAGCCGCGGUAAUACGGAGGAUGCAAGCGUUAUCCGGAAUCAUUGGGUUUAAAGGGUGCGUAGGCGGGAUUGUAAGUCAGUGGUGAAAUUUCCGGGCUUAACCUGGGCGCUGCCAUUGAUACUGCAGUUCUUGAGUAUAGUUGAUGUUGGCGGAAUGUGUCAUGUAGCGGUGAAAUGCAUAGAUAUGACACAGAACACCGAUAGCGAAGGCAGCUGACAAAACUAUAACUGACGCUGAUGCACGAAAGCGUGGGGAGCAAACAGGAUUAGAUACCCUGGUAGUCCACGCUGUAAACGAUGAUAACUAGCUGUAGGCGAUACACAGUCUGUGGCUAAGCGAAAGCGAUAAGUUAUCCACCUGGGGAGUACGUCGGCAACGAUGAAACUCAAAGGAAUUGACGG
rnacentral:rRNA from 1 species